GGGGCCGUAGUCUAGUCUGGUAGGACUCAAGGUUCGGGACCUUGUAACCGGGGUUCAAAUCCUCGCGGCCUCA
rnacentral:tRNA from 1 species